rnacentral:lncRNA from 1 species
GUGAAGUACCAGUAUUAUGCAAGACUUUGGUGUGAAGUACCAGUAUUAUGCGAGACUGAGAUCUGCUGCACUCAGUCAAGCUUCUGGCGAUGCCUUCGAAUGUAUGCUCUGCGAUCUCCCCAGUGCCGUAACUCGAAGACUUAUGUUUUUCAUGUGUGGUGCACAGCCGGCAUAUAAUAUCUGAGCUUGUUCGAAUGUACCGUGCAUCACACUCGGGUAACCGAACGUUUGCCCAGGGGGACAGUGAGAAAUGCUUAAGGGAAUCAACUUGUUCAGUUCCCCUAUAAUAGCGAGACAGAUCUUGGCCUUUUCUGAAAAACUCGCAUUCCGAGCUGCGAGAAGUCCUCCGAACUGAAGACUAGAAUAGUAGGGUAGGUGAUAAUCGUAGAUGAUGAAGUAUCCGGAUAUGUAAAUCCUUUAAGGAUAGUCUUCCANNNNNNNNNNNNNNNNNNAUAGCGAGACAGAUCUUGGCCUUUUCUGAAAAACUCACAUUCCGAGCUGCGAGAAGUCCUCCGAACUGAAGACUAGAAUAGUAGGGUAGGUGAUAAUCGUAGAUGACGAAGUAUCCGGAUAUGUAAAUCCUUUAAGGGUAGUCUUCCAUUCUGUAAUGUAGGCCUUUGUAACGUGCUGUAAUGUACUUUUCCUUUAAUGAAAUGCUUGUUUUUCAUUCAUACUUGAGCUUGUUCUUUUCUCUGUCAUGGAUGAAGUACUGAUACUGUUUUCUUCAUAGCCUUAGCCAACUAACUUUUGUUCCGUUUUUUCCGAGCUGAAUUGACCGUAUUUCGCG